AUACGGAGGAUCCGAGCGUUAUCCGGAUUUAUUGGGUUUAAAGGGUGCGCAGGCGGCCAUUUAAGUCAGCGGUUAAAUCGUGGGGCUCAACCCCAUCCUGCCGUUGAUACUGGGUGGCUUGAUUGCGGUCGAGGUUGGCGGAAUUCGUUGUGUAGCGGUGAAAUGCAUAGAUAUGACGAAGAACACCGAUUGCGUAGGCAGCUGACCAGAUCGCAAAUGACGCUCAUGCACGAAAGUGCUGGGAUCGAACAGGAUUAGAUACCCUGGUAGUCCGCACAGUAAACGAUUAAUACUUGUUUUCGGCGAUAUAAUGUCGGAGGCAAAGCGAAAGCGAUAAGUAUUCCACCUGGGGAGUACGCCGGCAACGGUGAAACUCAAAUGAAUUGACGGGG
rnacentral:rRNA from 1 species